GAUGAACGCUGGCGGCGUGCCUAAUACAUGCAAGUCGAGCGAACAGACGAGGAGCUUGCUCCUCUGACGUUAGCGGCGGACGGGUGAGUAACACGUGGAUAACCUACCUAUAAGACUGGGAUAACUUCGGGAAACCGGAGCUAAUACCGGAUAAUAUAUUGAACCGCAUGGUUCAAUAGUGAAAGACGGUUUUGCUGUCACUUAUAGAUGGAUCCGCGCCGCAUUAGCUAGUUGGUAAGGUAACGGCUUACCAAGGCGACGAUGCGUAGCCGACCUGAGAGGGUGAUCGGCCACACUGGAACUGAGACACGGUCCAGACUCCUACGGGAGGCAGGAGUAGGGAAUCUUCCGCAAUGGGCGAAAGCCUGACGGAGCAACGCCGCGUGAGUGAUGAAGGUCUUCGGAUCGUAAAACUCUGUUAUUAGGGAAGAACAAAUGUGUAAGUAACUAUGCACGUCUUGAAGGUACCUAAUCAGAAAGCCACGGCUAAAUACGUG
rnacentral:rRNA from 1 species